GCCGUAAGGAUAGGCUCCAGCUGCCCACAUGAGAUGAAACUCUUUAUGUUUCUGAAUCACGACGUAGCAUUUAAUCCAGAACAGCAGUUUAGCAUCAUCUGGAAAGGAGGGAAAAGAUUCAUGUUUAUAAAACUGUAAAUGAAGUUUUUCGUUCUGUUCCAGAGAUCUGCAGCGUCUUUAGAUCCGAUUUGGAUCAAAACUUUAAGGAAACGUUUUCAUGUCUUUUCCUGAUCCAGAUGGUUCAGUGAUGAACAUCUGUCGAGUUCUUGGUUCAGGACGUCAGAUUCAGUGGUAAAAGUUUUCUCUUCCUAAACAGAAACAAGAGUUUAUUCCUUUAGACCAGAGAGAAACUUUAGAUGAAUCUUUGAUUUGGUUCCAUCUGAAGCUGUGGAGACAUUUACCGUUCAGCAGAAAAGUCUAAUUUUGAUGCUUUUCCUCCCUUUUAAUAAAUAAAUGUCAUGUUUUCGUGUCCACAGAGAGCAGCAGCCCUCCGAUAUUCAAGCCCCGUGCCGUGGUCACCCUGAGGCUGGGCUCCGUCAGGGCUCCUCGCCGUGAGCAGAGUGGGAUGGCGCUGUCUCUGGAUUGGCUGCCUCAGACGCCGCACAACCUGCUGGCCGUUGGGUUUUACGAAGGUGUGGUGGGGCUGUGGGACCUGACCACGGCGUCCGCCUUGCUGCGCGUCCGUGAGCCGGACAGGUCUCUGAGUCUGCUGCCGCACCGCUGCUUCCUGGCUCAGGACCACGCCGUCCGCGCUCUGGCCUUCUGCCCCGCCUCCAGACACCUGCUGGCGACGGCGGGCGGGGACCGCCACGUGAAGGUGUGGGACCUGAGGAGGCGCUGCGACCCCGUCGCCGUCCAGAAACGCUUCCUGACCAAUGAAAUCUGCUGGCCGCUAACGGCUCCGGGCCUCCUGAUUUGUCAGGAGUGUGCUUUUGUGGCGAAAGGCUCUCACGGGCUUCACUUCAUCAGCCUGAGCUCGCCGUCCUAUUUCGCCAUUCCGAGGAACACGACCGUGUGGUCCAUCACCUACUCCGAGUGGUUAAACGUGGCGGUGUCGGCUGACGUGGUGGGAGAGCUGAUCCUCUCCAUCCUGCCUCAGCUGGACAGCUCGGGUCCUCUCGUCAAACGCAACAUCUUAAGACGUUUUCCCAUCUGCUUCACCUCCAUGGUUCCUCUGGAGGGACAGAAGGAGACCGCAGAGGGGGAGGAGGAAGGAGGAGUUGAGCAGCAGCAGGAGAAGGAGGAGGUGUCGAAGGAGCAGAACGGUUCUCCUGAUGGAGGGAAAGAGAACCAGGAGGUUCAAAAGGAGAACGCUCUUCUUCUGCACUUUCAGACGUACAAGGAGGGAGUGCAGAAGUACGGUCUGCACUACGCAGACAGCAACGUGAAAAACCUCAAAAACUUUGAGAAUCGACCUCCAUGGAAACAAAUGAAAAACACAGAAAACAGCACGACAGUGAACUUUGAAGACAGCACAAUGACUGCACUUCACAAGGUGCGCUUCAGUCCCAACAUGAGCAGCCAGGUGUGGCUGGCGUCCGCAGGGCAGGCGGGUCUGGUGAGACUGCACUGUCUGAGGUUCCUGAUGGGCCCCGACGCCGAGAAGAUGAUUCGCCAGAGGCGGCAGCACUUCACGGAGCGGCUGGAGGAGAGUUCACCGUGAGACCAGGAGAAGCAGCGGGCUCCUCAGGUGAUUCGUUCCAGUUUGGUUGAACUGUUGAAGUUUGUGUCCUCUGGUCCCAAACACCAUCAUGACGCUGGAACAUCCGGAUCAUUUUAGGACGAUUUAAAGAUAAGGCUGAUCUGCUGACAUCAUCAUCAUCAUCCUCAUCAUCAUCCUCACCAGAAGGUCUGAGAGUUGGAAGUGAACGCAGCAGUUUCAGGGAAUACAUCUUGGAAUUCUUCUCGUGGAUCAGAUGAGAUUUCUCCGAAUUCGCUUCUUUGUUUUCCAUCUUUACGCGCUCUCCAAGUCUGGACGGGAAAAAACCUCCUUCAGAGGGGGGGCCGG